AACGAACGCUGGCGGCAGGCUUAACACAUGCAAGUCGAACGCAUCCUUCGGGGUGAGUGGCAGACGGGUGAGUAACGCGUGGGAACGUGCCCUUCAGUUCGGGAUAACCCAGGGAAACUUGGGCUAAUACCGGAUACGUGCGAGAGCAGAAAGAUUUAUCGUCUGAAGGAUCGGCCCGCGUCUGAUUAGCUAGUUGGUGGGGUAAUGGCCCACCAAGGCGACGAUCAGUAGCUGGUCUGAGAGGAUGAUCAGCCACAUUGGGACGGAGACACGGCCCAAGCUCCUACGGGAGGCAACAGUGGGGAAUAUUGGACAAUGGGCGCAAGCCUGAGCCAGCCAUACCGCGUGAGUGAUGAAGGCCUUAGGGUUGUAAAGCUCUUUCGUCCGGGACGAUAAUGACGGUACCGGAAGAAGAAGCCCCGGCUAACUUCGUGCCAGCAGCCGCCGUAA
rnacentral:rRNA from 1 species